CAUAAAUUGAAUGUCAGUUCCAUUCAGAGAAAAUAGAGCAUUCACGUAUUCCAGUCCUGUCUGGAUCCCAUGACUUGGUAAGCUCCAGGAAUGGUCAGGUAUACCAUGAAUAUAACAAAUGAAGAAAUUCAACAAUGUAAAAGCCCUGGAUCCAGAAAGGAUUAAGCUGAAAUUCACAUUGCUGCAGGUGAAAAGGAAUUAGCAUCCGG
rnacentral:misc_RNA from 1 species